UACAGAGGUCCCAAGCGUUGUUCGGAUUUACUGGGCGUAAAGGGUGCGUAGGCGGUCGGGUAAGUCUGGUGUGAAAUGCCGUGGCUCAACCACGGAACUGCAUCGGAUACUAUCAGGCUUGAGGGUGCGAGGGGGGACUGGAAUUCUCGGUGUAGCAGUGAAAUGCGUAGAUAUCGAGAGGAACACCAGUGGCGAAGGCAAGUCCCUGGAGCACUCCUGACGCUGAGGCACGAAAGCUAGGGGAGCAAACAGG
rnacentral:rRNA from 1 species